rnacentral:lncRNA from 1 species
AAAGAAAAGAAAAGAAAAGAAAAGGAGAGUGUAGACGUCAGACUUUUAACGGCAUUGUCGAAAUGCCUUCAAAUAUUGAAUAUCCAAAAUUUGAAGUCGUUUCGAUUAAAUUUGAUUUUAGAUCACGAAAGUUCCCCAAUAUAAUAGAAAUUUAUUCAAAACAUUGAUCCCAUGUCAUUGUGAUUACCAACAUUUGAAAACCCAACUAUCCAGAUCAGUAAUCGGCCGAUACUGAAGUAACUAUGGGAAGGUAUCGAUACCAGCCAAGUCCCCUCCUAAAACCCCCUUAUUUCAUAGUUAUUUUUGUGAGCCAUCUAAUGUUUUCUUAGAUCCUAUUAAUUAUUUUAAUAUUUUAUUUUAAAAUAUUUUUUUGGACCACAGAUCGGGUGAUCCGGUUGUUUGACACAUAUUUUUUAGGUGGGCAAUGCACCUCACUAAUCCGGGUUUUGAAACACUCUUCGAGCCUUUUGAAGUGGGGGCAUUUUAGGGGAAAAAAAAGAAAAAAAAAGUUAUUGAUGUAAAAUAAAACCUCUCGAUUUUUUUCAUUACUUCAGAAAGUGAGCAAAAAUUUCUCUCAUCUUAGUAGCAUCUUUAGGAGAGUAUUUGUCAAGUUAGUCACGUGAAUACUAAUUUUUAAGGAUAAAAUGUUAUUUUAGGGGUUGAAAUCCCUUUAAUGAAAUCAUUAAUCGGGUCCAAUUCUUUCUAUUACCAUUUGAAGGAUUGCUUUUUCUUAUUUUUAGUGAUUCUUAAUAAUGAUCGCCUUGUUUGUAAUACAAAAUAACUAGGGGAUUUUUGUAAUUCGGUUGGGGCUUUUGAGGGUCAAAUUACUGCGACACUCCUUAUUAUUCCUUAUUUCUAAUACAAAACAAAGGCAAUUAGAGACUUCUAAAAUUUGUUUGGAGGAGGUACCAAAGUGAGGAAAAAAAAAAAGCAAUCCCCAAAUGUUAAUAUCGAUAAUCUGGCGCUAUCUUAAGGGGUUUUGACCUCUUAAAUGAUAUUUUCCCAUGUUUUAAAAAUAGUUGAGUCAGCUUCAAAGGUUUACUUGUAUGAGUAUGAGACCCCUUGAUUCCAAUUCAUAACAUUUAUUUGAUUUUUAAGUUUUUGUAGUAAAACAAUCUAAAACAACAAGUUGACCGGAUGAGAUGACUCAAAGCUAGGUUGGAAUCAAUUUUUUUUUUUUUUUGAGAAUCAAUUGGUGAUUGGUUUGACGUAUCGAUUCAAUUUUCAAGACAUCGACAACAAUUACCGAGCAAGAAUAAUGUUUUAAAACAUGGAUUGGUGGGGCAAUUGUUCACCUACAAAUUCAUGUCGAAUUGUUGAUUCGGUGAUCCAGAUCAAGUAUAG